rnacentral:rRNA from 1 species
GACGAACGCUGGCGGCGUGCCUAAUACAUGCAAGUAGAACGCACAGUUUAUACCGUAGCUUGCUACACCAUAGACUGUGAGUUGCGAACGGGUGAGUAACGCGUAGGUAACCUGCCUGGUAGCGGGGGAUAACUAUUGGAAACGAUAGCUAAUACCGCAUAAUAUUAAUUAUUGCAUGAUAAUUAAUUGAAAGGUGCAAUUGCACCACUACCAGAUGGACCUGCGUUGUAUUAGCUAGUAGGUGAGGUAACGGCUCACCUAGGCGACGAUACAUAGCCGACCUGAGAGGGUGAUCGGCCACACUGGGACUGAGACACGGCCCAGACUCCUACGGAAGGCAGCAGUAGGGAAUCUUCGGCAAUAGACGAAAGUCUGACCGAGCAACGCCGCGUGAGUGAAGAAGGUUUUCGGAUCGGAAAGAUCUGUUGUAAGAGAAGAACGGGUGUGAGAGUGGAAAGUUCACACUGUGACGGUAUCUUACCAGAAAGGGACGGCUAACUACGUG